rnacentral:lncRNA from 1 species
AUGAAGACUCUCUCCUCUUUUUUGCAGAAAGUAAUAACCUUCCUGAUGACCACGUCUUUUCUAGGAGAAAUAACAGGCGAAACUUUCUUUCAUCGACAAGAACAUGAAAAUCUUGCACUUCAGUGCAAUCAGCAAGCUGCUAAAGGAAAAGCAGAAAUAGCUUGGUAUAUAGCAGACAACAAUCUGCAGCAAUUUAACUUAAUUAACUGCUCUUCCAAGGAGUCUACUUUCUCAUGUGGAAAAAAAGGGGGACCUUCAGGCUGCAAUGAUACCUUACAAGUGACCCACAUAUCCCCUGAAGGAGGGCUGUUUGCAUGUGGAGCAGUUCCUAAUGGUGGAACACCAGCAACUUGCCCGCUGUUUCACAAUGUCUCUCACUGCAGGCACUACGACUUCUUUCUUACACAGACGAUUUACUCCACACAAGAAAGCAAGUCCUUAGACAGUGUUCCUGAAACACCAUACAGCAGCCUGGUAUUUGAAGACAACAUCACUUUGUCAUGUGAAUUUGAAACUACCUGCUCAGGAGAAUGUUUUACUCUGUAUUGGAUCAGAGCUGCAAAAAGAAGUGAAUGCAUUUUUUCUCUAGCAAAUGAAGCUGGGACCUCACAUUUGACUUACAAUGAGCAUUGCUGUAUUGAUGAAGACAUCCAUGGACGAUUAUUGAACAAUACCGACUUCAGUUCAACUGACAAAAAAAGUAAUGUGACUAUUCUGAAUGUUACUAGUUCUGACAGUGGAGAAUAUUUAUGCAUUGUUACUACCUGGAUAAAUGGCAAAUAUGUGUGGAGAGUUGCUAAUAACCUGUCUGUGGAAGUUCGGAAAGACAAAACUACAUAUAUACAGUGGUAUAUCGCCUCUGGAGCUAUAGCUGGGAUUAUUUUUCUGUGUGUCAUAACAUGGCUAACCUAUCUCAAGACAGCCAAAUCAAAAGGAAAAAAAUCAUCCACAGAAUUUACCAGAUAUUAUGAUGUUGUUGGAAUGCCAGAAGAUGAAUGUUCUCCAUAUGCAACAAGUUGUGUCAGUGACAUGCAAAGAAGUGAGCACCUUUAUUGCCACGUAACAGGGACUUACGCGAAAGUCUCUGCCACAGAUAACAACAAGGCUUCUGGGACAGGACUGGAAGCAGAUAUACAUACAGUAUAUGCAUAUGCUGGUGAAUAA